rnacentral:lncRNA from 1 species
UCGUGAAGGAAAAAAAACACAAAAUAUCAUAACAACAUCAAAAGUUACAGACUUGCAGAAUCCCAAAUUACACUUUCCCAAAUUCAUCAAGACAAUUUCUUAACUGAUGUAACUUUUCUAGUUUUCGUAAAAAUGUUAACUUGGGUAAAAUCAUAUUCCACAAAAUUAGAAAUUGGGGAGUGAAAUUAAACACCAAAACUUCACAAGGGAGACUUACCAUUAUAUAUGCAGGCAUUGAAAUCAAAACCUUCUUCCACCAUGGAAGUCAAAUGUGAUGUUUGAACUGAAAAGCUAUAAGUUGGCAUCCCCAUCUUCAAUACAUCCCCUGGGAACAGUACGAAGUUGUAUCUGCACCAAAAUCAGCAAACACACAUCAUCAAAUCACAUUCUAUAGAUACAUACAUAUAAAUUUAUAUGUGUAUGUAUAGGCAUAGUGAGAAUGUAUGGAAGGUUAAGGGCUAAGCUUGGAGGCUCUGAGAGUGAAAGAGCAGGCGGCAAACUGGAGAAGGUAGAACCGCUCGGCGGUGUAGUUAGCCUUGCAAUACGACUUGUCGGCGGUGUCGAAGCGAGAUGGGCACGAAGUCGGAAGUGGACACGUGGUUCUUGAACUCCUCCAGGAACUCGGGAAAAUUGGACUUCGUCACUUCCUUCACGGCCCAUUUCUUUGAGACUUUGGUGGUGGUGGUGCUGAGAAAAUUGCGCCGUAUUAGUGGAGGCAGAGAUGCACUCCGUGUCCUGAACUUGUACGGACACUUGCCUGAACCUCCGCCUGAACUCGCUCACCUUCAUAAUCUUCGUCAUGGUCGUCGCCGAAGCCGACGAACUUCACUCUCAGUCGAUCACAGCUGUCCUUCACUAUCAGGACGUCGUACCAGGCGUCGCCCAAGCCAGACCUGAACUCGACCGCCAUCCCAACUCCCACCCACUCCCCCUCUCUCUGUACUUCUGCAAUCCCUAGUCAUAGGGCCUUAGCCAUUUCGGCUGGUAUAUGUGACGAAUCUGGAGACGGAGCAUGGAGCUGCAAGCUGUCAAGGAGUUCGCCUAACCCUAAAAUCGCUCUCUCCCUCUCUCUCUCUCUCUCUCUUUCUUUUCCCAAAUCGAGCAUCACCACUUAAUCCCCUCUAUUUCUCUCCCUCGAAUCGUACACGCCCUGU